CUACACACGUGCUACAAUGGGUGGUACAAAGAGAAGCAAACUCGCGAGAGCAAGCCAAUCUCAAAAAGCCAUCCUCAGUUCGGAUUGGAGUCUGCAACUCGACCCCAUGAAGUCGGAAUCGCUAGUAAUCGCGGAUCAGCAUGCCGCGGUCGAAUACGUUCCCGGGCCUU
rnacentral:rRNA from 1 species